AAUCUGAAAGCGAAAUGGGAGCAGCAGAUUCUUACUCUGUAGGUGGACUAUUAAGUCCUCAGAUUA
rnacentral:tRNA from 1 species